GUCACACAGAGCAGAGCUCAGCGCUGUCCUCCGCUCCCUGUGAGGAGCUGCAGCCACCAUGAGGCCUCCCGUCAGCCUGCUGAUGGACAUGAUGGUGCCAAGAAGCCCAGUAGAGAAUACAGAAUCCUUUGGCCAGCCCUCAGAAGGCCGAGGGGAUGGCUUGCAGGCAGUCCUUGCCACACUGAGCAAGGCCAGCCUGUCCUUGAUGCUGGGCCACUCUUGUCAGCUCUGCUGAUGCCUGGUGUCUCACAGCAGCUGAGUUUUCUGGCUUCUCAUACUUUCCAUGACUGCCUCUUGGGCCACUGGCAGAGCCCUCUGGGGGCAAGCAGGUGCUGCAGAUUUGCUGCUCUGAAGGGUUUGUGGGUUGGUUUGCUUGUAACCUUUAAAAUUAUCAUGUUAAUGAAAGUUUUGCAGGAGUUUAACACGAAAUCACAGAGGCCAGGGUGUUCACCUACAUUCAGUAGGUAUGGGGGGCUUUUGUUCCUGCUGUCUUUAUGCAGUGCCAUCCAGGGCCGGGUGGUGCUGCAGCCCAUGUCAGGUGAUGUAGAUCAUCAGUUUCCUGCCUUAGUGGCUAUCGACUGUCUGUUUCUCCUAUGAGAACUGUGCAGAUCACCUGCCUUACUUGCCUGGACAGCUGUGUUCCUAUCAUCCAUACAUCUUUCUCCCCAUUGAGCACAUUACUACAACACCUGCACAGGUUUGCAGUCCAAUUUUGGGGCUUUUCUGUUUGCCUGGCAGAUCAGGACAGAUGGAUGCUGAUGCCAUGCAGGGCUGUGCAGUUUCUCUUUCUGCCUCUGGUUUCCUCCUGUUCCUGCCCUGGCAGCAGCAUAGGUAUGCUUACCAUGGUGUACUGCUGUACAAUGUGAGCAUUGACCCAUACCUUGUGUCAGCUGCUGUCAUCUUUGUCCACACAGAGAUGCAGUGACAAAGUAUCCCAGGGGAUUCUGGUGCCUUCUGUUAGCUUUCAGAGUAAGGGAUGCCUGGUCUGGAGCACGUCAGCAGCAAAACUCAUGU
ensembl:lncRNA